rfam:Myotis brandtii contig182547, whole genome shotgun sequence.
CUUGAGGGGGGGGGUCCCCUCAGUCCAGAUUGCAAGAGGGCGCAGGCCAGGCUGAGGGGCCCCACUGGUGCAGG